AUGAUUAUGGAAACAAGACAUGCUCAUGAAAACAACUGUAAAAAGGUUAUGGAGUAGUUCAGCAACUUGGUCACAGCCAGCUUUGAGAAGCUGGGGCAGACUUAGGGCCCAGUUGAGUCUCAUGUACAGCUUCAGGGCUGUCCCUUUAAGUUUGAUUUUAAGCAAUGCCUCACUUAAUAGUUUAGGGGGUGAGGAUUCGAUUCACGUAGUUGUCUGAAGGGACUAAUGGGACCUCUCAGUGAAUCAGCUGGCCAGAUUUGAGGAAAUCUUUAAUUUCUAUGAUUUCCCUUCUCACAUUUUGAAAUGGUCAAAUUGGCUGGAAACAAUUUUCUUGGUGCCUUAUUGGUUUAUCCUUGCAAACCUUUGUCAUAUUUUCUCAUGACUAUUGCCAGUGACCAAGGCCCAUGUGUGUUGUGUGUAAUUGUGCACAUGUCCAAGCUUAAAUAAUGUGCCAACAGCACUGUUUCAAAGUUGGUAUUCAUUAGGCUGUUUCCCCCUGGGCUGUACUAAUCCUGACGCUGGCUGCCAGGAGAAAACGUUAUGGAUCACACACCGAACCUUAAUAACAGCAUCCGUGACCUGCACUCUCCAGUACAGAAUGGGAACCCCAGAGCUAGGAAAUGUAGUUUUAUAUUUUAAUGAACUGCUACCCCUGCCAAAGAAGCUUCUUUCACUUUUGUGCUCUACAGAAAGCCCAAGGGGGGUAGGAGGGACAAAGCUUUGAGUAACUGCUUUCUAACACCAAAUGCGGCCAACAGGACAGAGCACAUCACACAUGCAGGCAGGUGUGAGGGACAGUGGCUAAGAAUUGCCCGCUCCCUCUGCCUGCUCUUGUUUCCAAAGUCCAAUCAGGUGAUCCCGGCAAAGAAAGCUGUCUAGGUUGGGGAGGGUCAUUCUGAAAGAACUGCCAAGACAUUAAAGAAGGGUGAAGGGUAGGCAGAAUAGAAGUAGCUAACCCGAGUCAAGACUUUCAAAGGCUUCUUGCAACCUGAUGAUAAUUGCAGGAUUUAUUUCAGGAUAGUGUCUGUCUGUGGGUACAUCAUUUUAAGACCAUAUGAUUUCAUGUUGUUACAAACUGUGUGUAUAGUAUGUAUGUUUUGUGGGUGUGUAUAUACAUAAUAUAUAUUAUAUAUAGGAAAGAUUUGGUGACUUUUGAUACGGGUUUGGUGCAGGUGAAUUUAUUACUGAGCCAAAUGAGGCACAUACCGAGUCAGUAGUUCGAGUCCAGGGCAUUUAAUACUUUUUCUGAUUUCCAUGUAUGUAUAGUGCCUAUCCCAUGCAGUAGUCACUGUCAUGUUAAAUCCAAAUGUUACACAUCAGAGCCAGCGAUAUUUUAUUUGUAGACAAUCAAUUUGAAUCCAUAAAUUAUGACUGGCAGAUGAUACAUGAUUACAAUUCUGAAUCUGUAACACUUACAAAAGGAAACCCAGAGCCGCUGGAUGAGUUUUUGUUUCUGCUUUGUUCCUGGGAGUCAGUAGAAACAGCAGUUAUAUGUGGUUAUGUUAGUCUCAAGAUACUUCAUUUGUUGACCUUACUUCAGAAAAAUUUUGUAUGUAUUAUAUUUGUGGGAAGGUAAAAUAAUGGUUUGAGAUUUUUAUCAAAUACGAAGAUUAGUUAUUUAUGAAAAACAAAGAAAUGUCUAUUUUUCUUUGUUCCCAAUUAAUGUAGAUAAAUUUUAAAAUGCAUUAAAGUAAUGGUAAAGACAAUACAAAGGUGCUGUAGA